ensembl:rRNA 5S_rRNA 5S ribosomal RNA
GCUUACGGCCAUACCUCUCUGGCUCCGCCUGAUCUCGUCUGAUCUCAGAAGCUAAGCAGAGUAGGGCCUGGUUAGUACUUGGAUGGAAGGACGGCUGGGAAUCCCAGGUGCCGUAAGCU